rnacentral:rRNA from 1 species
UGGGGAAUAUUGGACAAUGGGCGAAAGCCUGAUCCAGCCAUGCCGCGUGUGUGAAGAAGGUCUUCGGAUUGUAAAGCACUUUAAGUUGGGAGGAAGGGCAGUAAGUUAAUACCUUGCUGUUUUGACGUUACCGACAGAAUAAGCACCGGCUAACUCUGUGCCUG